AGUUCCUAAGAGAGACAUCACGAUGAAACUACAAUUCCUCCUGUUUGCCUUGUUGGUUUGCUGUUUGGUCAGCAAUGCUGCAAGUAUAUGUUGUUGUACGAAAUAUGUUGUGCGUAAUGGGAAGUGUAAAAAAAUAUAUAUAUGCAGCCGUCACAGACAUCAUUGCAGAAGCCAUCGAGAAUCGUGGUGUGGAGAUAUUUUCCAAUAUGGUUAGGAGGCGAAAAUUAGAAAAUGUUAAUCGAAAAACUAAUUUUAUAAAAAU
ensembl:ncRNA lncRNA:CR44316 long non-coding RNA:CR44316